rnacentral:misc_RNA from 1 species
CCGAAUUGUCAACAAGAGUUGUUGCUGGUCCCCGUACGGGGGCAUGUGCACGCUUUGUUUACACAUCCACUCACACCUGUGCACCCUCCGUAGUUCUAUGGCCUGGGUGGGCUCUGUCCUCCUGGCGUGGUUCUACGUCUUUACACACACACUACAACAAAGUCUUAUGGAAUGUAUGUCGCGUUUAACGCAAUGAAAUA